UACGUAGGGUGCGAGCGUUGUCCGGAAUUACUGGGCGUAAAGAGCUCGUAGGUGGUUUGUCGCGUUGUUCGUGAAAACUCACAGCUCAACUGUGGGCGUGCGGGCGAUACGGGCAGACUGGAGUACUGCAGGGGAGACUGGAAUUCCUGGUGUAGCGGUGGAAUGCGCAGAUAUCAGGAGGAACACCGGUGGCGAAGGCGGGUCUCUGGGCAGUAACUGACGCUGAGAAGCGAAAGCAUGGGGAGCGAACAGG
rnacentral:rRNA from 1 species